rnacentral:lncRNA from 1 species
UUUCAUACUAAAACAAAAGUAACGUAUGUUCAAAGGAAAAAAAAGGAAAGAAUUCAAGGGCAUCUCCGAGACCAACUCUUCCAUCUCAGUAGUAUAAUCCUAAGCAUCUUCUUAAAAGUGGCUAGAUAAUUUCCCAUUUUUACAGACAGGUAAACAGACAGGUAGGCUCCUUAGUGAGACAGUACCAAUGCCCAGCAAUCAGGUACCCAGCGUUUCCCUGAUGAAUAGAGCCCCAAGGCCCUUAAUCAGCUGAAGGAGCCACUAGCCAACACUUGCAACUGCAUCCAAUCUACCAAGCCUUUUGCUGUCCACUCACUCCCCGAGACCUUGUUCUUCGCGUCAUUCCGAAUUUGUACUCUGGGGACACUCACCCCCAAAUUUGCAGGGCCUCUCCAUAGGCCCCUAGGUUACACCACCCUUAAUCAUUUGUUUGGCUCACAGAGCUGGCAGAGGCUGUCCUGUCAGGAGGCGGGUACAAGGGGCUGCCUGUGAGUAGCUGAGGGUGUCGGGCCUGACCCUCUUCUUCCCUGGAGUCUGGUCGUCAGUGCAGCAGGACAC